AAAGGAAUAGACGGGGGCCCGCACAAGCGGAGGAACAUGUGGUUUAAUUCGAUGAUACGCGAGGAACCUUACCCGGGCUUGAAAUGGAGAGGAAUGAUUUGGAAACAGGUCAGUUCGCAAGAACCUCUUUGUAGGUGCUGCAUGGUUGUCGUCAGCUCGUGCCGUGAGGUGUCGGCUUAAGUGCCAUAACGAGCGCAACCCUUAUCAUUAGUUGCAAACAGGUAAAGCUGUGGACUCUAGUGAGACUGCCACCGUAAGGUGUGAGGAAGGUGGGGAUGACGUCAAAUCAGCACGGCCCUUACGUCCGGGGCGACACACGUGUUACAAUGGAGAGUACAACGGGCAGCUACCACGCGAGUGGAUGCUAAUCUCUAAAAACUCUUCUCAGUUCGGAUUGGAGUCUGCAACUCGACUCCAUGAAGCUGGAUUCGCUAGUAAUCGCGCAUCAGCCAUGGCGCGGUGAAUACGUUCCCGGGCCUUGUACACACCGCCCGU
rnacentral:rRNA from 1 species